rnacentral:rRNA from 1 species
GUGCGUAACGCGUAUACAAUCUGCCUUUCACUGGGGGAUAGCCCGAAGAAAUUUGGAUUAAUACCCCAUAGUAUAGUAAUACGGCAUCGUGAUACUAUUAAAGCUUAGGUGGUGAAAGAUGAGUAUGCGUUCUAUUAGCUAGUUGGAGAGGUAACGGCUCCCCAAGGCUACGAUAGAUAGGGGUUCUGAGAGGGAUGUCCCCCACACUGGUACUGAGAUACGGACCAGACUCCUACGGGAGGCAGCAGUGAGGAAUAUUGGACAAUGGUCGGAAGACUGAUCCAGCCAUGCCGCGUGCAGGAUGACUGCCCUAUGGGUUGUAAACUGCU